rnacentral:rRNA from 1 species
GACGAACGCUGGCGGCGUGCCUAAUACAUGCAAGUAGAACGCUGAAGGAGGAGCUUGCUCUUCUGGAUGAGUUGCGAACGGGUGAGUAACGCGUAGGUAACCUGCCUGGUAGCGGGGGAUAACUAUUGGAAACGAUAGCUAAUACCGCAUAAUAGUAGAUGUUGCAUGAUAUUUACUUAAAAGGUGCAAUUGCACCACUACCAGAUGGACCUGCGUUGUAUUAGCUAGUUGGUGGGGUAACGGCUCACCAAGGCGACGAUACAUAGCCGACCUGAGAGGGUGAUCGGCCACACUGGGACUGAGACACGGCCCAGACUCCUACGGGAGGCAGCAGUAGGGAAUCUUCGGCAAUGGACGAGAGUCUGACCGAGCAACGCCGCGUGAGUGAAGAAGGUUUUCGGAUCGUAAAGCUCUGUUGUAAGAGAAGAACGAGUGUGAGAGUGGAAAGUUCACACUGUGACGGUAUCUUACCAGAAAGGGACGGCUAACUACGUG